rnacentral:rRNA from 1 species
UACGUAGGUGGCAAGCGUUGUUCGGAUUUACUGGGCGUAAAGGGCGCGUAGGCGGUCAGCACAAGUCAGUUGUGAAAUCUCCGGGCUUAACCCGGAAAGGUCAACUGAUACUGUGCGACUAGAGUGCGGAAGGGGCAACUGGAAUUCUCGGUGUAGCGGUGAAAUGCGUAGAUAUCGAGAGGAACACCUGCGGCGAAGGCGGGUUGCUGGGCCGACACUGACGCUGAUGCGCGAAAGCCAGGGGAGCGAACGGG